CAACCUUGGGAUACCACUCUUGGGAUAUUGGGAUUCUAACCUGCGACCAUGAAUCUGGUCGGGGGACACUGUCAGGUGGGCAGUUUGACUGGGGCGGUCGCCUCCAAAAGAGUAACGGAGGCGCUCAAAGGUUCGUUCAGCACGGAUGGAAAUCGUGCACUGAGUGUAAACGCAUAAACGAGCCUAACUGCGAGAAUGACGGUUCGAGCAGUAACGAAAGUUGGAGUUAGUGAUCCGGCGGUAUGUGAAUGGAAAUGCCGUCGCUCAACGGAUAAAAGCUACCCUGGGGAUAACAGGCUGAUCUCCCCCAAGAGUCCACAUCGACGGGGAGGUUUGGCACCUCGAUGUCGGCUCAUCGCAUCCUGGGGCUGAAUUCGGUCCCAAGGGUUUGGCUGUUCGCCAAUUAAAGCGGUACGCGAGCUGGGUUCAGAACGUCGUGAGACAGUUCGGUCCCUAUCUGUUGCGGGCGCAGGAAUAUUGAGAGGAGCUGUCCUUAGUACGAGAGGACCGGGAUGGACGUACCGCUGGUGCACCAGUUGUUCUGCCAAGGGCAUAGCUGGGUAGCUAAGUACGGACGAGAUAAACGCUGAAGGCAUCUAAGCGUGAAACUCCCCUCGAGAUAAGUGUUCCCAUCCU
rnacentral:rRNA from 2 species